AUCCCAAAAUAUCAUUCUGUUGUUUGCAUGCGGCCACCCUGAAAAAUAUAUAAAACGAUGUUUUUUGAGGCCGAUUUUGAUCGCUUCCGGUUUCGGUAUUUAUAUUCAGACGUAAACAAAGUUGGAGGAAACAGAAAAUGUGACUGUAGAUUUAUCGAAGUUCUAACCAUUUAACAGAAUGCCUGGAGAUGGUCCAAAACAAUAUUCUGUUACUGGAGCUGUUACUUGUUGGUAUAGACCAAUCCACACUUUUCAAAAGUUAUGUCCCUUGGCCGCCAUCUUAGGGGAUAAACCUAUACAAUCCACACAGUAGCCUUUGUAGUUCUCACCACGCCCAAAUAUUUGGUAGCACAAAGAGGAGAAAUGACGUUUCUUUCCCUUUUGACCUUUUGGUUGACCCCGCAAAGGGAAACAACUUUUGCAAAGUGUGGAUUGGACUAUUGUCAGUGUCGUGCCCAUGUGGCCUCAGUAUUGUGGUUUCUUGGCUAUGAAAGACACACAAACUUUGCAGUAAGACCUACUCAAGACUGGGCUGACUACCUUGAGGAUGCAGCUGUGCUUCCUGCAGUAAUGGAUGGCUCAUCAGAAAGUGAAAUGGGUGCAAAGGAAGAGUGACAUGAAUUGCGACAUUGGUUUAUUGAGAGUAAACAUUAUUGAGAGGGAACAUUCUGCAGAUUAUAGGCGUCUCCAUAUGUGUUAAAAUUCUCGAGAGGGACAUUAAACAAUAAACAAUCAAUCAAUCUGCAGGUUAUGAUAUCCACUGCAUUAGACUCCCAUUAUUGUUUUCAACAAUAUAGUGGAAGGCUGUGAAUAUAUUGUUAUUUUUUAAUUGUAAAUAGGGAUUUUUAUGUAUCCAUGAUUUUUCUUAAUGUUUAAAUUGUGAUUUGUUAACAUCUGUUAUAUCAUCGAGAAAUUAAAAUAUAGUACAUUGUACAUCCCAAAAACAUAUUAGAUUCAUUGCUUGAGUUUAACAAGUUCGGUUGUAAAUAUUGAAAGAUUAAUU